GGGGAUGUGGCUAAGUGGUAUAACACUUGCCUACCAUGAGCAAGUCCCUGGGUUCAGUCCCCAGCAUCACAA
rnacentral:tRNA from 1 species